CCUACGGGAGGCAGCAGUGAGGAAUAUUGGUCAAUGGACGAGAGUCUGAACCAGCCAAGUAGCGUGAAGGAUGACUGCCCUAUGGGUUGUAAACUUCUUUUAUAUGGGAAUAAAACGUUCCACGUGUGGGAUUUUGUAUGUACCAUAUGAAUAAGGAUCGGCUAACUCCGUGCCAGCAGCCGCGGUAAUACGGAGGAUCCGAGCGUUAUCCGGAUUUAUUGGGUUUAAAGGGAGCGUAGGUGGAUUGUUAAGUCAGUUGUGAAAGUUUGCGGCUCAACCGUAAAAUUGCAGUUGAAACUGGCAGUCUUGAGUACAGUAGAGGUGGGCGGAAUGCGGGGUGUAGCGGUGAAAUGCUUAGAUAUCACGAAGAACUCCGAUUGCGAAGGCAGUUCACUGGACUGCAACUGACACUGAGGCUCGAAAGUGUGGGUAUCAAACAGGAUUAGAUACCCCUGUAGUC
rnacentral:rRNA from 1 species